UUUUUCAAUCAGGUGUAGGGUCUGAAAUAACUCAUAAAUUGAAGUGUUGUCUAUCAGCUUCAUCUCUUGUUACUGGUGGAGACCGGAGUCAAACAACAACACUGCACCU